GGAUGGGGUGGGUGGAGAGGCUGAGUCAGGGAGGGAGGGCCCCUCUGGGGAAGAGCCCCUCUGUGGGCAUCCGGCCCCCACCCCGUGUCUCCCGUCUGUCCUGGCUCUGACCGGGUUCUGCUGGCUGCCACCCCCACCCCCCACGUCCACACCUCUGUGUGUCCUGCCAGAGCCAAAGCGACUCCCUGCUUCUCCCUCCCUCGGCUCCUGUCUGUUGAGGUCUCUGCCUGCCCCGUGCCCUCCUCUUGUUUCCUUCAGAUCUUUGGCUUCCCUCCCUCCCCCAUCUUAUUCGGUCUCUGCGUCUCUGGCUGUCAGCGUCUUCCUGUGACUUUCCAUCCCCUGCCGGCCCCUCUUCUCCCUCCAUUUCCCUUGCUUCUCCUUCUUUCCCCCUUCUCACUUUUCUUCCUGCAUUUGUCCUUUUCUCCUGGGCCCCUGGGUUUCAGCUACUGUCUCACUAACCCUGUUUCCCGAUCCCUCUCUCCCUCCUCCUCUGGCCUUCACCCUCAUUUUUUCCUGUCCCUCCAUGCCCAGCCCUCCCUGGGCCCCCAUUUCCAUCUGUGUCUCCCAGAUCCAGGAAGCCUAACUGGAUGUCCAAGUCAGAGCUCCGCUGUGGGCCCAGAAUUAGGGGUCACCACCUUGCCCCUAGGCUGGAGGGGGCAGUAAGGCUUUGGGUCUGUCUGGCCAGAAGGAAAUGUCUGUGCUGUGGCCUGGUCACCCCCACCCCCAGACCUGCUGGGCUGCUGCCGCCCGAGGCUGGGGCCGAGUAAACACAGCCGCAGGCAGCCUGGGGAUAUUUAUACCAAGGCCGGGCGUGGGGCCAGUGCCCACCACAGCCCCUGCCCUGCCCUGCCCGCUGCCACCGCCAGCCCUGAGCCAACGUGGCACCAGCAGGCAAGGGGACGCCGCAGACGCAGCCUCCACUUACUCAGCACAAAGGCCAAUGGGUGGACACUGGUCAACCAGAUGAUGCCAGUGGCUUCACAGGACAGGAGGUCUCCCUUCCUUGAAAACACUGGCACACAAUACAGACCCACAUCCACCCCUGCUGAGAUCUCCCAACGCUCUCACACUCUGGAGCCACCAGCCUACAGGUGGGGACACCAAUACAGACUCCACCUGCUUGCAGCUGCCCACACAGGCUGAAAAUACCAGUCCCUGAGAUGGACACACACAAGCCACACAGUCCGGAAGUACAGCCUCCCACACAGACUGCAAGAGCCACGGAAGGCGUGUUGGAAACACCACAGAAACACACCAUCUGCAGAACACAAAAGUCCUCAGAAUACCAGCAAGGCACACGCGGAUCACACACUAGGGCUGGGGCGGAGCUCAGUGGUAGAGCACUUGCCCAACAUGCUCGAGGCCUCGGGUUUCACUCCUAGCAUCACAAAAAAAAAAAAAAAAAACAAGAAACAACUUAUGUACAGACACACAGACACUGGCAACAAUCACACAUGUGUACCAAAAACUUCCUUUAAAAGCCAAAUACACAACACCUCCUGGAAACAUCUUUGUCACAGACCUAUAAGCAUGCAGAAAACACCCAAAUUUCAGGUUGAAUUUACACUAAGAACAUAGAAAUUUACACCAAGAGAACCGGGAAGAUGUUGAGGGGGAGGGAAAAAGAAAAAACUAGCGACCCACUGGUACACAGACUCACCAGUCAGUGCCAGGACAUGGAGCCCAUGGAAAGUACCCCGGCGUGUCCAGCAGAAACAUGAACCAGCAGACACACUCAACAGAAAUGCAGCGCAGCCACAGACACGGAGCCGAACACGUGCUGGGGCGCACCCGCUGCCACCACCACCCACCAAAGGCCAAGAGGUGCCAGACCAGCGGCUUAGAGCCACCACACUUGCUGGAGACCCCCCCCCCCCCAGGUGCACACACGGGGCCUGAACACACCUGUGAGUUCCUACUGGAACCAGGCCACACCUAGCACUGGGACGCCCAGAGACCUGGCGGGAAGGGGGCUCCCCCGCUCCUCCCCCAUACCGACCCCAUCCCCGGGAGCCGGCAGGAAGGCCUGAGCUGGCCUCCCCCGGCCGCUUCCUGCCCGUCGGCCGGACGGGAAGCCGGGGCUCCAGCCGGAACCCAGGCUCCCCCCACGACUUCCCCCGACGGCCGGCCGCGCUGUCCCGGGCGGGGCUGGCGGGGAGGCAGCGGAGCGCCCCGAACCCCGGCCCUGCCCUUGCCCCUG
rnacentral:lncRNA from 1 species